GGUGAAAUGGCUGAAACUGCAGGCGAUAGAUUGUAAAUCUAUUUAUGGUUAAUAAACCUUUCAUCA
rnacentral:tRNA from 1 species